AAUCAAACCGUACCGGUCCACAAAAAAUAGCAAUUAGUAUAAUUUAAGCCCCUUUGGUUUCUCUUUCUUUCAUAAAGUACCCGUUUCUUCUUCGUGUUCUUGUUCAAUCACAGAACAUCUCUCUCAAUGUUCGCCGUCUCUUCGAGUUCCUCCUCCAAUUCGAGUCGACGAUAAAGAGCAAGUUGGCAUCUUUGAAUGAGAAGUUGGAUCUUCUGGAACGUCGCUUGGAAAUGCUUGAGGUCCAAGUUAGUACCGCCGCAGCAAACCCUUCUCUCUUCGCUACGUGGAAUGAAUAGCCUGAGCCUUUUGUUGGCGGCUUUAAUCUGGAGAACACAUCUUUCCUUUUUAAUGAUUCUUUUAUCUCUUCUUCUUCCAUAUGAAAUACAAUCCACUGAUGAAGAACUGUGUAUCAUUUCCUCUGUGUUGAUGUAUGAUCUUUUGUAUCCCAAAAUCGUUUCAUCAAGUUUUUCUUCCUUGUCAUCUUUGUACGCUACAUCUUGGAGUUAAAGUAUAGUUCAUUCUCCACAAGGUCUGUUUCGUUAUUGCUUGUCAUCGAACACGUACGGGUUCAAGUCGCUGUAUAACAUCAGCCUUUCUCUCUCAAUCUCCAACAACAACUUACUCAGAUAAAUGUUUCUUGUUAUGGUGAGAGACUAAUGAUCUCCAGGUUUGUAAUAACUAGGACCAUCUCCAAUGGGGUUCUCCCCAUUGGAAUUCUUAAUAUAUAUAUUAUGUAUAUAUAUAUAUAUAUAUUAUAUAUGUGUAAAUAAUUGUGGAGUUCAUAAUUACUGUGGAAUCCUAUAAAUAAGAGUUCUUAAGGAUAUUUCUUAGACCACUUACAUUGGAGGCUUUUAAACGGGGUUCUUAAAAAAAACUAAAAAAAAAAAAGAAAAAAAGAAAAAACUAACUAAGGGGUUUUGGAACCACUAAGCACCCCAUACGUGCCAUCUCUGUAUUGGUCGAUUCCUUCAUCUUCUCUCCAUACUCUUCGAUCCAAUCUCCACCAUUCCGUCUCCAAUCUUCGAUUCCAAUUGUCAGCACCGCCGUGAGAUUAGACUUCGCUGAACUCCACACUUCAAGUCCGGGAGGGUGAAGUUGUGACGAGUCUUGCGUCUCUCACGUCCCUCUCUCUUUGAGAUUAGCUUUGACUCUGUAAUCUCUUCUCCUCGUCUCACUUCUCCUCGUCUUCUUAACGAUUGUUCGAGCCGCCACCACUGAUGUCCAAUACUGUGAGGAGAAUGCAGAGUAUGAAGUAAAAGUGAAAGAGGUUAAUAUAGCGCCUAAUCCUAUAGCUCGAGGCGAGCCAGCUACCUUUACCAUCUCUGCCAACACAUGUUGCUUCUUUUUUUACUUUACAUUGAUACCAAUGAAAGAUGUUUCCUUUGUGAUGAUGAUGAAUGUGUUAGUUAUGAACUUAUGAUAGAGAGAGAAAAUGUGAUUACUUCUUUUGAGGAUUGUAGGCUCUUACUAGAUUCUAAAGGAGCGUUAGAUGGUCAAGGUUUGAAUAGUUAGAUGGUCAGGGUUUAAAGUGGUUGAAAGAUCUGUAAGCCUGGGUAUGAGCAUGGGAUAAAUCUGUUUGACCUGUGCUUGUUUUAGACAUUUGAGUUAUUGUCAAGUUUCUUUAGUUCAAGAUGUUUUCUCUGUCAUUGCCUAUUAGAACUAUGAUUCACAUCGGAGACUUUUUGUUUGGUUUUGGUGUCUUUUGAUCUUGUCUGUUUGUUAUCUUUGAUCUUGUUGUUUUAAGACAGCCAUAUAAAACAAUCUUCUUUUUGUGUGAUGCAUAUGUUUCACUUGAUGCCGAAGUCACAAGGAAGCUUUUACGUGUUCAACGAUAUAUUCAGGUUGAACUACGCCUGAAGAAGAAUCUCAGAUACUAUACACUAUUUAAUCAAUGAUUUAUCUUGAGAAUAGAGCAAGAUUGUAUUUGUGUUUGAAUGGAGGUUCGUUUGUCAUUUACAUUCCAGUGACUUGAUAAGACAAAUUUAAAUGGUUUCCAAUAUGCUAUUUUCAUCUGAA